GAUUAACGCUAGCGGCAGACCUAAUACAUGCAAGUCGAACGGCAGCACGGGUAGCAAUACCUGGUGGCGAGUGGCGCACGGGUGCGUAACGCGUAUGCAACCUACCUAUAACUGGGGAAUAGCCUUCUGAAAGGAAGAUUAACACCGCAUAAUAUCACGAGACGGCAUCGCCUUGUGAUCAAAUCUCCGGAGGUUAUAGAUGGGCAUGCGUGACAUUAGCUAGUUGGUGAGGUAACGGCCCACCAAGGCUACGAUGUCUAGGGGGUCUGAGAGGAUGAUCCCCCACACUGGUACUGAGACACGGACCAGACUCCUACGGGAGGCAGCAGUAAGGAAUAUUGGACAAUGGGCGCAAGCCUGAUCCAGCCAUGCCGCGUGAAGGAUGACGGCCCUCUGGGUUGUAAACUUCUUUUAUACGGGAAUAAACCCCUCGAUUCUUCGAGGGCUGAAUGUACUGUAAGAAUAAGGAUCGGCUAACUUCGUGCCAGCAGCCGCCGUAA
rnacentral:rRNA from 1 species